UUAAUUAAUCUGAGAAAAAAUAACGCAUAUUAAUCCAUUCCGUAUUGACCUUUGAACCUGGAGCCGUUCUAGCCACCAUUCGACUGUAAAAUGAAGGAGGGAGACGACUGCUGCACUGACGGUCAUAACGAGCAGAGCUCCUCCCUCGUGCGCGCGAGCUCUCUUCAUCUUCAAAAAUAAUUCCUCCCACACUUUUGGCUCUAAAAAUGCAGUCAAGCGGACUGUAAUACACUCUCUGGCGAGAGUCCUCCAUUUGCAGCCUGCAGACGCAUCACUCGCCCCGGGCCCCCAGGGGCCCCGCAUCGGACCAACAACUGCCCCGCCUGGGAGAGACAGUGGGAAGAUUAAUACAGCAGCUCUCAUCGGCAGCCAUGCAGGUACCGGGGCCGUGAUACUUACAUCUGUGAUCAGCUCGACUUUACACGUGUUCACUGACGCAUUACACGCAAGACAACGUGCUGUACAUAAACGCUCUGCCUACAGACGCUCUCAGUCAUAUAUGCAGCACCUAACUCUCAUUCACAAUAGGUUUGAGGGAAUCAGAUUUCUCUGUAUUAAUCUGUGUGUGUGUGUGUGUAAAAAGGUCAAAAAUUGAAUUAAAUCGGACAAAACUGGAGACAUCCAGAAAAGUCUUCAAUUAAAAAAUGAUUUAUAAAAUAUGUAUGUAUUUGCUUGUUACUUUCUGUUGUUGUUAUUAUAAUUAACUUAACUUACAUAUUUUACAAUAAAGUUCUGAUAUGUCCUCAAUUUGCUACUUAAACAUGUAUGUGUGUAGAUUUAGAAAUUUGAGAGGUGGAAUUCUUUUUGGUCAAAAAUAUGAAGCUUUUGGGUAACAUUUAACAAUAAGGUUCAUUUGUUAACAUUAGUUAAUGUAUUAUGAACUAACAAUGAGUAAUACAUUUGUUACAGUAUUUAUUAAUCUUUGUUAACAUUAGUUAAU